GCACAUCUUCCUGCCCAAAACAGUUCCACAGAUUUGGGCUAUGCGACUGGUCUAUUCAUCACACCACUGACCGUGUUCGGCUAAAUUAAAAUGGCCCCCGCCACGUGUUCGCUUGUCGAAUGGCGGCCACUUCGACUACUUCAGCACUUCAGCUGCAUCCGAAGUGCCAUAGCAAGUACAGAUCUUUUCCCAGAGCAUUUAAAGGGCCAGAAACAGUCUAAUAAAAGUCCAUAAGCCCAAAUAACGUUUUUAAAGGGCAAUACAUACCAGG